UCCUUGGUUGUCUAGUGGUAAGGAUUCGGCGCUCUCACCACCACGGCCCGGGUUCGAUUCCCGGUCAGGGAA
rnacentral:tRNA from 1 species